rnacentral:lncRNA from 1 species
AUGCUGACUAAAGGGAAAAUUCAGUUUAGGGUUUAAAACCCUAAUGCUGAUUGCAUGGAAAAAUUCAGUUUAGGGUUUAAAACCCUAAUGCUAGCGGAAUGGAAAAAAGUUCAGUUUAGGGUUUAAAAUCCUAAUGCUGACUGAAAGGAAAAAAAAAGUUCAGUUUAGGGUUUAAAACCCUAAUGCUGACUAAAGGAAAAAUUCAGUUUAGGGUUUAAAACCCUAAUGCUGGCUGAAAUGGAAAAAGUUCAGUUUAGGGUUUAAAACCCUAAUGCUGACUAAAAGGAAAAUUCAGUUUAGGGUUUAAAAUCCUAAUGCUGGCGGAAUGGAAAAAAGUUCAGUUUAGGGUAUAAAAUCCUAAUGCUGUCUGAAAGGAAAAAAAAGUUCAGUUUAGGGUUUAAAACCCUAAUGCUGACUAAAGGAAAAAUUCAGUUUAGGGUUUAAAACCCUAAUGCUGAUUGCACGGAAAAAUUCAGUUUAGGAU